ensembl:lncRNA
CAAUUUUUUUAAACUGACUUUUAAAAAGUAUUUUGUGAUAUAUUAUAAAAUACACAAACGCAAGUUAGCAAUUAACAAAGGUAUGAAUCGAAAUAAAAAUGGUAAACAAUCAAAUGUAAUCAAAAUGUUACCUUUGCAAAAUUGUGCUAAUGAAAGCAAAUUUAUACAACUACACGUUCGACAUACUAUGAAACAAAUAAAAAUGAUACAAAUGGAAAAGAAUAUUUUUAAAAGCAUACUAAACAAUUAUUUAAAUGUUGUUGGAGCACCCAAACUGUUUCUAAAGUUUAUAAAAACGAAAGCUAAAUUACAAAUAACGCAAAAACAUUUUUAUUAUGAUAAUUAUAACCAAAAACUUAAAAAGACAAACAUUUUAUUUCAAAUCCCAUUCAUUUUUACUCUUAAUAGUAAAACUUAUAAAAUAUUGCUUACAAAAAAAAAAUACAAUGAUAGAUAUAGAUAAUGAAAAAAAAUAUUUACGUAGUAAAAAAACAAAAAAUAUAAAAAGAGGCCAACAAAAUAUAUUUCAAAUUAGUAUUAAAAAUAGUUGUUAUUUUUCUUAUCAUUUUGUAAAUAUAUCCUCAUUCAAAUGUGUACUUAAUUCAAUCGAAAAUAAUGACACAAAAAUUGACGUAUUUUAUAUUAUUAUAAAUAUAAUAAUGAACUUUUUAGUUUGUGUAAAAUCUUUGAAACAUGCCCAGUACUUAAUUCGAUUAAUUUCGGAACAGUUAUUUAUGGUAUACAAGCUACUGAAGAAUAUAUCUAAUACAACGGAUGAAGCAUACAUGAUUGGCAUGAUUUUGUGUAUAGAGUUUUUCCAGUGUUAUAUUCAUUUUAGUUCAUAUUUUGAAAAUAUUGAAAAUAUGAAUUUAAAAAUAGAAAUAAGAAAGGAAGUCAUAAAAAGUCAACAAAUGGGUGAAGUGAAUAAGCAAAUCGAAUUUUUAUUAAAAGAUUUUAGAAUUUUUUUAUCAAAAAUUUUUUUUUUUUUUAAAGAGUCUAUAAAUUCGUUAUUAUAAAAAAAAAAAAAAUAAAUAAAAACACAUAUAUAUAUAUAUAUCA